GCUGGGCGUGGUGGCGCACGCCUGUAGUCCCAGCUACUUGGGAGGCUGAGGCUGGAGGAUCGCUUGAGCUCAGGAGUUCUGGGCUGCAGUGCGCUAUGCUGAUCGGGUGUCCGCACUAAGUUCGGCAUCAAUAUGGUGACCUCCCGGGAGCGGGGGACCACCAGGUUGCCUAAGGAGGGGUGAACCGGCCCUGGUCGGAAACGGAGCAGGUCAAAAAUAUUUAUUUAUUUUCCCUUUUGUUGCCCUUGGAUUUUUUUUUUAUUGUUGUAGCUAUUACUGUUUUUGU
rnacentral:SRP_RNA from 1 species